rnacentral:siRNA from 1 species
GAACUCGUGCGCGAGAGUCCAUA